UCUCUUCCUAUAUAACCUUACAACUUACUGAACUUCCUCUAUAGCUUUCUUCAGUUAAGGUAAGAUAACUCAUCGGUCUUUUUUUUUCUUCUUCAACUGCCUUAACGACUUUCCAAAUUUCUUGUUCAGAAAAUAUUUCCCAUGCUUCAAUUUUUUUCCUCACCUUCUUUUACUCAUCAUUAUUUUCAUUAAAUCAAAUCAUUUACCUUAAUAUGCAUAUUUUUUUCAAUAUUUUUAUUAAUUUAAAUAAUUUAUGAUUAAUUACUCGUGUGAAAGAAUUCAAAUAUUAUGAUAUGCAAGUGAUUUACUAUAAUUAUUUGUUAUUUCAUAAAGUUUAUUUCUUAAUUAAUGUAAAUGAAAGUUUCCUGUUUGCAUAAUGUUUCUAUCAAUUCUUAAAGUUUCUCUAUGAAUUUGAGGUAAAAACCAGUCGGUGAGAAAAUAAUGAAAAACAGAUAAAAGAUAAGUUGAAGUUCGGAGGAAAGGUAUGUUCUUAAUAUUGUUAUUAUGUUAUAAUUUGAAAUUUAUUGAUAUAGUUAUGAUCGUUUUCUUGAAUGUGAAGACGACUGGUUUUAUAUCUCGUUCGAAACUAUUAAUUUAUAAAUAAAAAUUAUUUAUCUUUUUGACAAUUGGUUUUAUGUCUUGUUUGAAACUAUUAAUUUAUAAAUAAAGAUUUUUUUUACUAUUGGUUGAAAUCUCGUUUGAAACUAUUAAUUUAUAAAUAUAUAUUUAUCUUUUUAUAAUAAUUUAUUUACAUAAUUAAUAAUAUUGUGUGUAAAUUUUUAUUAGUUUUUAGUAGAUGGCAUUUACACAUAUAAAUUAAAAACAUACAAUUAUAACUGUAUGAACUUAUAUUUUUACAAAUAUUAAUUGUGAAUGUUUGUUCAUGAAAAUGUAAUAUUACUGGCUAUUGAUAUUGUUGUUAAAAACUUAAUAUUAACACUAUAAACGGUAUAUUGAGUAUUUUAGUAAAAUUUCCUUCUAUUUCUUAAGUUAAAUCUGAUUUAAGUAAAUUGGAUAUUUUUCUCUCUCUUAAAAGUUACAACUCUUAUAAUUAAAAUAAAAAUAUUAACAUUAUUCUUAGAUUGAAGAUGGCGAAACAUAACAUUUUUUUUAAUAAUUGAUCAAUUGAUUAGAACUGAAGAUAAAGUAUGAAAAAUGAGUAUAUUCACAAUUUUGUAGGUUCUAUGAUAAUUAAACUUGUUAUUUGGAAGACUUUAUAAUUUUAUAUGUUAUUUAAAAUUGUAUAAAUUUAUUAUAUUAUUUUCUUUAAAUCAAAAUAUCUAUAAUUAAAAAUAAAUAAAUAAAGUGAAAAACAAAGGUUUAUUAAAAAAUUAGUAUUUUAUUAAAAUUAUCAAGUAAAGAAAAUAUUAUUGGUAUUUUAUGUCAAUAUUUAUUAUUGCUUUAAUUUUGUUUUUAAAAAAUAUUUAAUAUUUUAAAAAGCGUGAAGAUUUAUUUUGGUUCCUGGAUAUUGAAUUGCUUUUUAAUCUUACGACAUAUACUAUUAAUUUAUCUAUGCACUAUUAUGAAUAAUUGAUUUUAAUUUGAUAUAAAAAUGAAUUUUAUUUCGGUUUAUUCGUCGAGAUAAAAAAGGUUUAUUCGUCAAGAUAAAGAAGGAUGUUAUGGAAAAUACGUCAUUCUUUUUUUAAAUUGAUAUAACAACCAUGGGAACAUUGGUAUCAAUCAUAAAUUCGAUCUUUAAUAAUUGCAGUUUUGUAUUUUUAAAAUUGAAAAAUACGUGUUAUUUUCUCUCUGGAUUGCUUUUAAUAUUUGAGGUGAAAUGUAAAUAUUUAUCUAAGUAGGAGUUACAAUUGACAAGAUUUUUUUUUCAAUAUUACAUCAUUUUUAUUUUGACCUUUACAUAUACACGUGUUGUGAUCGAACCUACAUGCACAAGUUUUUAACAAACAACAAGGUAGAAUGCAUAUGUUUUCAACAAGGUAGUAUACCAGUCAUGAGCAUAUGUUCUGAAAAUUAUAUACAUAUUUUCUGAUAGAAUGCAUAUGUUUUCAACAAGGUAGUAUCCCAGUCAUGAGCAUUUUAUAUAUAAAAAAUUAAAGGUGAGAAAAACAAGAAAGGGGGGGUUUGAAUUGUUUGGAAAAAUAAGCGCUUUUCAAAAUGAAAAUCACACAAUGAUUUUAUACUGGUUCGCUUAUAACACAAAGCUACUCCAGUCCACCCGGCAGCCAAGGUGAUUUCGCCUUCAACAAGGACUUAAUCCACUAAUCUUGAAAGAUUACAAACAACGUCUAAGAUAAAAAAUCUUAGCCCUCUCAAGUAUACAGACUACACAGAGUCACUGAGGAAAUCAACAAACAAUAGAAGAAGGAUUAUGUAAACUAGAGUGCUUCUAAGAAAGCAAGUAUUACAAAAUUAAGAAACAGAGUUUUUCACGUUAUAAGCAAAAGCUUCGUGAAGAUCUUAGAGAGAAAGAACGUUUUCUUGUGUUGAUGUUUCAGUAUGAUUUUCCUUGUAUGUGUGUAGUGUUUGAAAUGUUGAUUUGCAAUCCUUUAUAUAGAUCAAUGAAGUAGUAGUUGAAACUGAUGGAUAUUGAGAUGAAGUUACGCCAUCACAUAAAUAGCU
rnacentral:lncRNA from 1 species